UACCUGGUUGAUCCUGCCAGUAGUCAUAUGCUUGUCUCAAAGAUUAAGCCAUGCAUGUGUAAGCACACACUGUUUUAAAAGUGAAGCCGCGAAUGGCUCAUUACAACAGCCACAGUUUAUUAGAACUUACAAUCAUGGAUAACUGUGGUAAUUCUAGAGCUAAUACACGCACAAAAACUUCAA
rnacentral:ncRNA from 1 species